CGAGUGAAGCGGCAAGAGCUCAAAUUUGAAAGCUGGCUCCUUCGGGGUCCGCAUUGUAAUUUGCAGAGGAUGCUUCGGGAGUGGCCCCCAUCUAAGUGCCCUGGAACGGGCCGUCAUAGAGGGUGAGAAUCCCGUCUGGGAUGGGGUGUCCACGCCCGUGUGAAGCUCCUUCGACGAGUCGAGUUGUUUGGGAAUGCAGCUCUAAAUGGGUGGUAAAUUUCAUCUAAAGCUAAAUACUGGCCGGAGACCGAUAGCGCACAAGUAGAGUGAUCGAAAGAUGAAAAGCACUUUGAAAAGAGAGUUAAACAGCACGUGAAAUUGUUGAAAGGGAAGCGCUUGCGACCAGACUCGCCCACGGGGUUCAGCCGGCAUUCGUGCCGGUGUACUUCCCCGCGGGCGGGCCAGCGUCGGUUUGGGCGGCCGGUCAAAGGCCCUCGGAAUGUAACGCCCCCCGGGGCGUCUUAUAGCCGAGGGUGCCAUGCGGCCAGCCCGGACCGAGGAACGCGCUUCGGCUCGGACGCUGGCAUAAUGGUCGUAAGCGACCCGUCUUGAAACACGGACCAAGGAGUCUAACAUCUACGCGAGUGUUCGGGUGUCAAACCCGUGCGCGCAGUGAAAGCGAACGGAGGUGGGAACCCCUCGGGGUGCACCAUCGACCGAUCCUGAUGUCUUCGGAUGGAUUUGAGUAAGAGCGUAGCUGUUGGGACCCGAAAGAUGGUGAACUAUGCCUGAAUAGGGCGAAGCCAGAGGAAACUCUGG
rnacentral:rRNA from 1 species